AGGCCGUACAUGUUGGUUUAAAUAUUUCGCCUCGUGGAAAAAGAAAUACAUUUCCUUCUGUUAUUCUUACUUGAGACAAGAAGAGAUUCGUGCUUACGUUGGAUGACCUUAUCAACCCGCCCACGUUAUUUUGACGAUAUCGCGUUGUUAGGUUUGUUAACGAGGGACCGUACGCAGUUUUCAUUACGAGGCACAGUUGAACGCUCGUUCGGUGUUGACGACACACAACCCCGCGACGAACAAAGGAAAAGGCUGGUGCACGCUUGUUAGUGCGUUUGGAGAGUGAUAUUAUACAACAAUUCAGCUAAAACUCACCAUAACGACCUUUUUGUUAUGGAAUUUUAACUUUAUAUAUUUUUUUAUCGGAAUAACAAAACAAUUAGCUUGAUCAUUCAGUCUGGUUAGCAGCAUCGGCUAACGUUAGCUUUGAUUGUGGACAACUGGCAAGCUAACUGCUAACUUUAGCAUUGUUUUCAUUCUAGCCGGAACUUUUUAGUUUUUGGCACAAUGGCUGAAGUAUAUAUUCGAGUGGCUGAGGAGGAAAAUGAGGAGCCAAUGGAGAUUCCGUCCGAGGACGACGGUACUGUUCUGCUUUCAACAGUGGCGGCUCAGUUUCCAGGGGCUUGCGGCCUACGCUUCAGGAGCCCCGUGUCUCAGUGCAUGCGGGGAGUGCGUCUGGUGGAAGGGAUCCUACACGCACCAGAAAACGGAUGGGGGAAUGUCGUGUUUGUGGUGAACUAUCCGAAAGGUCACACUUCAGACAACAAAAGGAAAAUGGAGGAAAUUGACGCCUCAUCUGCAGUGAAAAUGAAGAGAGGGGAUAUGAAAACAUCGGAUCUGAUUGUACUGGGCCUUCCUUGGAAAACAUCUGAGCAGGACCUGAAAGACUACUUUGGCACAUUUGGAGAGGUCAUCAUGGUUCAGGUAAAACGAGAUGCCAAGACUGGAAACUCUAAAGGGUUUGGCUUUGUGAGGUUCACAGAAUAUGAGGUUCAAGAAAAGGUUGUGUCCCAGCGCCAUAUGAUUGACGGAAGAUGGUGUGACUGCAAGCUCCCUAACUCAAAGCAAGGGCCCGAUGAGCCAUUGAGGAGCCGGAAGGUGUUUGUAGGCCGUUGCACAGAAGACAUGACCACUGACGACCUGAGGCAGUUCUUUAUACAGUAUGGCGAAGUCACAGACGUCUUCAUCCCAAAGCCAUUCCGUGCUUUUUCCUUCGUCACAUUUGCAGAUGAUCAGGUUGCCCAAGCUCUCUGUGGAGAGGACCUAAUAAUUAAAGGUGUCAGUGUUCACAUCUCAAAUGCUGAGCCCAAACACGGCAAUAGGCAGUUUGAUCGCACGACACGGUUUGGAAAUGGUUUCGGAGCUCAGGCUUUUGGUAGCAGCCGUAGCGGGGUUAGCGGGGGCAGCGCUAACAGUAGUCUGUCUAAUUUUGGUUCCUUCAGUCUGAAUCCGGCUAUGAUGGCUGCGGCCCAGGCAGCUCUUCAGAGUAGUUGGGGGAUGAUGGGAAUGCUAGCUAGCCAGCAACAGACAUCCACCCCAGGCAGCACCUCUAGUGGAACUAGCUCCAGCAGGGACCAGAGUCAGUCUUUCAGUGCGGCCAACAGCAACUACGGCGCCAGCUCGGCCAGUCUCGGCUGGGGAACAGGGUCAAACUCUACAACCAGCGGUAGUGGGUUUAGCUCAGGGUUUGGGUCCAGUAUGGAGUCAAAGUCAUCUGGGUGGGGUAUGUAAGCUAAAUGUUUGUAUGGUAAGUAUUGUGACAGAGAUGAGUCUUUUCACAUUUUUAUUUCUGGUGUUAUUGCGUAUCUGACAAACUUAACACUUUUGUGGAAGUUGUUUUGUACAUUUGGAAAAAAAGCUAAAGAUUUAAUUUAGAAAGUGUUGCAGUGAGUUGUUUAGCAGGAUGUCUGACUAAAGUGCUAUUUUUGACGUCUCAUUUGUUUGUAUCCAUUUCAACUGGAUUCUCUAAUGCAUGUAUUGUGAAAUGUGAUAUAGCCAUUUUGAAAAAGCAUGAAUGUUUAUGGAUCACCAUCAUGCGGCUUUGUCACCAACCUAAAAAGCAAUCUUGCAUUGGGAAGAAUCUGGUUGAAACCUAAAUGUUUUAAAUGCAACUUUAUUUGCAGUCAAGUUCUGUGGAAAAGCCUUCAUUGAAAUCUCUUCUGCAGUUCACCUCUCUUCCAUUUUCCUGUGAGGAAGCUCCUCUAUGGCAGCAUUCUUGGGGUGAUAUCGGUAUCAUUCUCCCUCUUCCCACCUGUAAAUGCUAUGCCAUCAAAGAACGGCUUCACUCCGCAUGUUCUAAGAGACGGGACCUUGGGCUCCGCUGGUCGAGGUCUCCGUUUGAACCCUGACUGAAGUCUGUUCUGAAGGACGAAGAUGGAAGUACCAAUACUUUCAGUGUGGCCUUCUCAGACAUGGGGUAGUACCAGUCUUUUUGCUGCUUUUGCUGGCUUGUCGGAGUGAAUGAUCCCCUUUGAUUAUCUACAGCAACUUUUAAGGUUUGAGGGAUAUUUUAAGAUGGGUAGUGUGUCAUUGUCUUCAUUUUAAACCCAACUGGGUGAGCUCAGCAGUCUGGCAUCAUCCUUCCAAACUAUCUAUUUUCAGUAAUUUGGCUAAAGUAAUUUUACAGUUCUUGACAUGUUUCUGAAAAUAAGGGACUUUAAGAUGGCCUUAUAAACCUAGCAACAACUUUAUACAGUACACGUGUAGCUGGUCAGAAAUAAGUUAACCUCAGCUAUAAAUUAUACUCUUGGAUAGUUUCAAUGUUUCAAACAUUUAUUUUACAUUGACAGAUGUGUUGACUCAAGUUUAACACUUUAAUGUAGUCCAUAAUAUUGAGACCUGUUUUUAAGGUUUUAUCUUCACUAUUUGCAUAAGAAACAUAAGAAUGUACUACAGAACAGUAAAAUAUAAAGGUUAUAGUUAAAGAAUCAACAAGAGAAAUUUGGUAGAUUCUAUGACAGAUGUAGAUUGCUUUAGAUAAUACAGGCAUACCUAUUAAGUGAUCAGUGUGUACGUUCAAAAUAGUCAACUGUACUAUUACAUAUUUUAGUUUAAAGAAACAAGGCAGGUACAUCGUUAAGCAGAGUUCUGCCAAAUGCACACACAUUUAAUUUUGCAUCAGCAGGUCACAGGACAGAUAUGUUAUUUAUUGUAAGUACAUAAAACUACAGUUAUUUAUAAAAUGUCUUAAGUGUAGAGUCCCCAUAACAUUAAAUGACAGCCUUGACACUUAAAUGAUUGCUAAUAGCCUUCAAGUUUAUUUUGAAUGUUGGGCAGAAGUGUGACACUGCAGGGCUGCCUGUGUCCUUUCCUUAUUCUUUGCUCUCCUCCUCAGUGUCUCUGCUUUUCCUCUUCCCAGUACUCUUCUUUUCCUGGUUCAGUUCUUCAGUUUUAUUUUGUAUGUGGAUGGACUGAAAUAAAUAAAAGCAAAUUUAAAACAA